rnacentral:rRNA from 1 species
AACGAACGCUGGCGGCAGGCCUAACACAUGCAAGUCGAACGAGAUCUUCGGAUCUAGUGGCGGACGGGUGAGUAACGCGUGGGAACGUGCCCUUCUCUACGGAAUAGUCCUGGGAAACUGGGUUUAAUACCGUAUACGCCCUUCGGGGGAAAGAAUUUCGGGGAAGGAUCGGCCCGCGUUGGAUUAGGUAGUUGGUGGGGUAAUGGCCUACCAAGCCGACGAUCCAUAGCUGGUUUGAGAGGAUGAUCAGCCACACUGGGACUGAGACACGGCCCAGACUCCUACGGGAGGCAGCAGUGGGAAUCUAGACAUGGGGCAACCCUGAUCUAGCCAUGCCGCGUGAGUGACGAA